AGUACAUCCGCCUGCUGCGGGGGGUGCUGCGGGACACGGGGGGCUUCCAGGAACUCUGCACUGAGCAGGAGUUGGGGGACACUGGAGGAGUGUCCCUAGGGGGGCCACCUGAGACCUGGCCUUGGAGUGCCCCCCCAUGCCCCUUGGGGCCACCCCUUCUGCCCCCCCACCCCGAGGCACUGCUGAAGGGUGGGGGGACGGUUUUUCCUGACAUCCAUAAAAACCUGGGGGGGGCCGCGGGGGUCUCCCCCGAAGGCCAAGUUCAAGGCUCCAGCCCCCAUUUUCAGGGUCAUGCUCCUGUCCUGGAGCCCUACACCCCAUGAAACCUGCACCCCAAAACUGGGGGGCAGGGGGCCUGUCACCCCUAAAACGUGGAGGUCAGGGAGGGCAGAAUUGUAAUUAAUUGCUUUACAAAAUUGUAAUUACCAAUUAGCUGUUCCUCCUUCCCCCCCGUAUGGGCUUAUUAACGAUUGUUAAUAUAAACCAAAUUAAUUGCACAAUAAAAAGGGAUUGUCGUAGCAUCAGCACUGGGUUUGGGGGUCCUCUCUUAUUUAUUUGCAGGGAUUGAGUUCCC
rnacentral:lncRNA from 1 species